UACAGAGGGGGCAAGCGUUGUUCGGAAUUACUGGGCGUAAAGGGCGCGUAGGCGGCCCGCUAAGUCAGACGUGAAAUCCCUCGGCUUAACCGGGGAACUGCGUCUGAUACUGGAUGGCUUGAGUUCGGGAGAGGGAUGCGGAAUUCCAGGUGUAGCGGUGAAAUGCGUAGAUAUCUGGAGGAACACCGGUGGCGAAGGCGGCAUCCUGGACCGGCACUGACACUGAGGAGCGAAAGCUAGGGGAGCAAACAGG
rnacentral:rRNA from 1 species